GGCUCAGGACGAACGCUGGCGGCGUGCUUAACACAUGCAAGUUGAACGGUAUGACAUGGGAAGCUUGCUGAAGUGUCAUAUAGUAGCGGACGGGUGAGUAAUGCAUGAGAAGCUGCCAUUGGGAGGGGGACAACAGUUGGAAACGGCUGCUAAUACCCCGUAUGCCGGAAGGUGAAAGGGAGCGAUCCGCCCGAUGAGGUGCUCAUGUCCUAUCAGCUGGUUGGUGGGGUAACGGCCUACCAAGGCGACGACGGGUAGCCGGCCUGAGAGGGUGAACGGCCACACUGGAACUGAGAUACGGUCCAGACUCCUACGGGAGGCAGCAGGUGGGGAAUUAAUUGGGCAAGUGGGGGCAACCCUGACCCAGCGACGCCGCGGUGGGGGAAGACGGCCUUCGGGUCGUAAACCUCUUUUGUACGGGAAGAAGGAAGUGACGGUACUGUACGAAUAAGUCCCGGCUAACUACGUGCCAGCCGCCGC
rnacentral:rRNA from 1 species